UUGGCUUAGAAGCAGCCAUCUUUUAAAGAUAGCGUAACAGCUCACUGGUCUAAUUUAAGUUAUCCUGCGGCGAAGAUGUACCGGGGCUCAAGCCAUGAGCCGAAGCUAGGGAUGCAAUUUAUUGCAUGGUAGCGGAGCGUUCUGUGAUAUAGAACGCUGCGUCUUUAGUAUCUUAGGAUAUUGUGGACGCAAUGUUCUGACUGUGAAGCCGGCGCGUAAGCGAUCCGGUGGAGUGAUCAGAAGUGAGAAUGUUGACAUGAGUAGCGACAAACAGGGUGAGAGACCCUGUCGCCGAAAGUCCAAGGGUUCCUGCUUAAAGCUAAUCUGAGCAGGGUAAGCCGACCCCUAAGGCGAGGCCGAAAGGCGUAGUCGAUGGGAACCAGUUUAAUAUUACUGGGCCAGGAGAUGGUGACGGAUCGAAAGCGUAGUGACUCCUUAUCGGAUUGAAGUUGCUGCCGGACGGUUCCUGGAAAUAGCCCUCCAUUAGAUCGUACCCUAAACCAACACAGGUGGACUGGUAGAGAAUACCAAGGCGCUUGAGAGAACUACAUUGAAGGAACUCGGCAAAAUGCCUCCGUAAGUUCGCGAGAAGGAGGCCCCAUCAGAAGGCAACUUUUGGUGGGGGGCACAGACCAGGGGGUGGCGACUGUUUACUAAAAACACAGGGCUCUGCGAAGUCGUAAGACGACGUAUAGGGUCUGACGCCUGCCCGGUGCCUGAAGGUUAAAAGGAGGGGUGAGAGCUCCGAAUUGAAGCCCAGGUAAACGGCGGCCGUAACUAUAACGGUCCUAAGGUAGCGAAAUUCCUUGUCGGGUAAGUUCCGACCUGCACGAAUGGCGUAACGACUUCCCCGCUGUCUCCAACAUAGACUCAGUGAAAUUGAAUUGCCUGUCAAGAUGCAGGCUUCCCGCGGUUAGACGGAAAGACCCCGUGCACCUUUACUACAACUUUACACUGAUAACAGGCACAAUAUGUGCAGAAUAGGUGGUAGGCUUUGAAGCAGGGACGCCAGUCCUUGUGGAGCCUCCUUUGAGAUACCACCCUUAUUUUUCUUGUUAUCUAACUGCGGUCCGUUAUCCGGAUCCAGGACCCUGUAUGGUGGGUAGUUUGACUGGGGCGGUCGCCUCCUAAAGCGUAACGGAGGCGCGCGAAGGUUGGCUCAGAGCGGUCGGAAAUCGCUCGUUGAGUGCAAUGGCAGAAGCCAGCCUGACUGCGAGACUGACAAGUCGAGCAGAGUCGAAAGACGGCCAUAGUGAUCCGGUGGUCCCGAGUGGAAGGGCCAUCGCUCAACGGAUAAAAGGUACGCCGGGGAUAACAGGCUGAUACCGCCCAAGAGUUCAUAUCGACGGCGGUGUUUGGCACCUCGAUGUCGGCUCAUCACAUCCUGGGGCUGGAGCAGGUCCCAAGGGUUUGGCUGUUCGCCAAUUAAAGUGGUACGUGAGCUGGGUUUAGAACGUCGUGAGACAGUUCGGUCCCUAUCUGCCGUGGGUGUAGGAUACUUGAGAGGAGUUGCCCCUAGUACGAGAGGACCGGGGUGAACGAUCCACUGGUGGACCAGUUGUCGACUACGGCAGUGCUGGGUAGCUAUGAUCGGACAGGAUAACCGCUGAAAGCAUCUAAGCGGGAAGCCCCCCUCAAAACAAGGUAUCCCUGAGGACCGAGGUAGACCACCUCGUCGAUAGGCCAGAGGUGUAAGCGUGGUAACACGUUCAGCUGACUGGUACUAAUGGUCCGAUAGGCUUGAUU
rnacentral:rRNA from 1 species